UCCAUGGAUAACAUUGCCGAAGCAAUAGCUCUGACGAAACGACAGUUAAAUAUAAGUUCUAUCAGGAAUACAUGGAUGAUGUCUCAAGCCUAUUGCUUGGAAGUCCACCAUUUAGGUGGAUCACUCCCCAAAUAUGGUAACAACCGGUCAAUAUGCACAACCUUUGGUGUUUUAUUAGGUCCAUUCUGGAUACGGUGUUUUCCUGGCUACACAUUUGUCACAGUGUAGACAGUGGUCUCUGACAUCUGCCUUCAUUCCAACCCAGUAGAAUGACUGUUCGAGCUUUGCGAAUGUCUUGGAAACACCAAGGUGACCUCCCAAAGAUUGGGAUCUGGUGAUGGCAGAACAAACAGCACUUGUCUCAGCAACACUGCAUGGUCCUUCCUCUCUAUGACACUGCGGACAAGGGGUACAAGGUCGACGACUUAGAGCGUCAGCAUUCCAGUGAACUCGGCCGGGUCUAUGAACUUCUGUCAAGUCAUAGUUACCUAACUCCUGCAACCAUCGAGCCAUUUGAUUGACUGGCCUCUUGAUGCGCUUAGCCCAAGCGACUGCAGAAUUGUCAGUUCUGAUGGUGACAGGCCUACCAAAGACAUAUGGAUGCCAAUGACGACAAGCUGCAACUACUGCCAACAGCUCACGGCGAGUGACACAGUAAUUCUUUUCAGCUGGAGUGAAACAUUUACUGUAGUAACCCAGUACCACCUCUCUGCCAUUUUGAUUCUGUGACAGGACAGCUCCAAGACCAUCACCAGAUGCAUCACUGUCGAUGGUGAUUUCACCCUCUCGUGUGGGAAAACCAAGGACAGGGG
rnacentral:lncRNA from 1 species